CCUACGGGAGGCAGCAGUGGGGAAUAUUGGACAAGGGGGGGAACCCUGAUCCAGCCAUGCCGCGUGUGUGAAGAAGGCCCUCGGGUUGUAAAGCACUUUCAGUGAGGAAGAACGCCUGGUGGUUAAUACCCAUCAGGAAAAACAUCACUCACAGAAGAAGCACCGGCUAACUCCGUGCCAGCAGCCGCGGUAAUACGGAGGGUGCGAGCGUUAAUCGGAAUUACUGGGCGUAAAGCGCGCGUAGGUGGCUUGAUAAGCCGGUUGUGAAAGCCCCGGGCUCAACCUGGGAACGGCAUCCGGAACUGUCAAGCUAGAGUGCAGGAGAGGAAGGUAGAAUUCCCGGUGUAGCGGUGAAAUGCGUAGAGAUCGGGAGGAAUACCAGUGGCGAAGGCGGCCUUCUGGACUGACACUGACACUGAGGUGCGAAAGCGUGGGUAGCAAACAGGAUUAGAUACCCUUGUAGUC
rnacentral:rRNA from 1 species